rnacentral:rRNA from 1 species
AUUGAACGCUGGCGGCAGGCCUAACACAUGCAAGUCGAACGAGUGGCGGACGGGUGUGUAAUGUCUGGGAAACUGCCCGAUGGAGGGGGAUAACUACUGGAAACGGUAGCUAAUACCGCAUACCAUCGGAUGUGCCCAGAUGGGAUUAGCUUGUGGGUGGGGUAACGGCUCACAUAGGCGACGAUCCCUAGCUGGUCUGAGAGGAUGACCAGACAAACUGGAAAUGAGACACGGUCCAGACUCCUACGGGAGGCAGCAGUGGGGAAUAAUGCACAAUGGGCGCAAGCCUGAUGCAGGCAUGACGCGUGUAUGAAGAAGGCCUUCGGGUUGUAAAGUACUUUCAGCGAGGAGGCGUUGCUCGCAGAAGAAGCACCGGCUAACUCCGUGCCAGCAGCCGCGGUAAUUC